AUGCUGGGAAAGUGGUCUGCCAGGAAUGACGAAACAGCCCCGCUGCAGUCUGAGGGGUGGAUCUCAGCUACAACCAACAGAAAAUGGGAAAUUUCUCUUACUACAUGGAGUUUCAAGGUGAGGGACUUUGUUGCCAACAAGACCAAUGCCUCAGAACCUGUGACUCAGUUUUGGCUGGAGGUAGGGGACCCAGGCCUGGAGGAGCCAAGCUGCAGUGAGACUUCAAGGCAGCCACACAGUCCACCGCCAGGGUUCAACUGCACCUCCUCAGCCUCAGCUGAGCACCAAGGUUGUCUUCUUCAGGAAUGA
rnacentral:lncRNA from 1 species